rnacentral:rRNA from 1 species
GACGAACGCUGGCGGCGUGCUUAACACAUGCAAGUCGAACGGUGAAGGGACCAGCUUGCUGGUUCUGGAUGAGUGGCGAACGGGUGAGUAACACGUGAGUAACCUGCCCCCUUCUUCUGGAUAACCGCAUGAAAGUGUGGCUAAUACGGGAUAUUCUGGGUCUGUCGCAUGGCGGGCCCGGGAAAGAUAUUGCUUCGGUGGGGGAUGGGCUCGCGGGCUAUCAGCUUGUUGGUGGGGUGAUGGCCUACCAAGGCGGUGACGGGUGGCCGGCCUGAGAGGGUGGACGGUCACACUGGGGAUGAGACACGGCCCAGACUGCUACGGGAGGCAGCAGUGGGGAAUAUUGCACAAUGGGCGCAAGCCUGAUGCAGCGACGCCGCGGGAGGGAUGGAGGCCUUCGGGUUGUAAACCUCUUUCGCCAGUAAAGCAGGCCUGCUCCUUGUGGGUGGGUUGACGGUAGCUGGAUAAGAAGCGCCGGCUAACUACGUG